CCUACGGGUGGCAUCAGUGAGGAAUAUUGGUCAAUGGACGAGAGUCUGAACCAGCCAAGUAGCGUGAAGGAUGACUGCCCUAUGGGUUGUAAACUUCUUUUAUAAAGGAAUAAAACGAGGCACGUGUGCCUUUUUGCAUGUACUUUAUGAAUAAGGAUCGGCUAACUCCGUGCCAGCAGCCGCGGUAAUACGGAGGAUCCGAGCGUUAUCCGGAUUUAUUGGGUUUAAAGGGAGCGUAGAUGGGUUGUUAAGUCAGUUGUGAAAGUUUGGGGCUCAACCGUAAAAUUGCAAUUGAUACUGGCAGGCUUGAGUACAGUUGAGGUAGGCGGAAUUCGUGGUGUAGCGGUGAAAUGCUUAGAUAUCACGAAGAACCCCGAUUGCGAAGGCAGCUUACUAAACUGUGACUGACAUUGAGGCUCGAAAGUGUGGGGAUCAAACAGGAUUAGAUACCCCAGUAGUC
rnacentral:rRNA from 1 species